AAGCAAUCCAGAAUGCAGCACAGAGAGACCAAAAAGAAAAAAAAAUAGGUAAGGGACAUACAUUUCAUUGAUAGAUCUUUAAUUGAAGUCCUAGAAGAAAUGAGAAUGAAGCAGAGGCAACAUGUGCCGGCCUCAUGGCUGAGUUUUUUUUUUAGAACUGGUGAUUGACAAUCAAUAUUCAAAAAGCUCACAGAAACCCAUGUGGGAUGCAUAAAAAGAAAUCUACAUCUAGGAACAUUAUUGUGAGGCUUCAGAAUCACCACAAAGAGAAGAAUAUGAAAGCAGUCAGAACAAAAAGAUUUCCUUCAAAGAAGCGACCGUUAGACUGACAGCAGACUCCUCAGUGACAAUAAGAUACCAAGGCAGUGGUAAUGACCUAUUAAAGUUGCUUAUGGGAAAUACUUGCCAACCUAGAAUUCAUUACACAGUGAAAAUAUCCUUCAAGAAUUAAAGCAAAAUGAAGACAUUUUUCAGAAAAACAAAAAACCGGGGAUUCACCACCUGGCAGACUGUUUUUAUAUUAAAGGAAAGGAAAUUUUGUUCCUUAGGGAAAAAGAAAAUAAUCCCACAUAGAAACCCUAAGGUGUAGGAAGGAAUGAAAAGCAAAGAAAGUUAUGAAUAAGUGGGUGGGUACAACAAAAUGAAUGUUGUUUAUAUAGAGUGAAACAAACAUCACAUGGGAUUUUGAAAAAUAUAUAUAGAGAGAAUUAAAAUGCACAACAACAAUAGCUCCGUUAAAUAGAGUUAAGCUGUUAUGUGGGACUUACAUUGAUUGACAGGAAGGUAAAUUAAAAAUUAUAAUGUGGAGCUGGGGACAUUGGCUCACACCCAUAAUCCCAGCACUUUGGGAUGUCAAGAUGGGAGGAUCACUUGAGGCCAAGAGUUUGAGACUAGCCCUGGCAACAUAGGGAGACUCUGUCUCUACACACACAAAAAAAAUUUAACUAGCCAGGUGUGGUGACAUGUGCCUGUAGUCCCAGCUACUCCAGACACCGAGGACAGAUGAUCACUUGAGCCUAGGAGUUUGAGGUUACAGCAAGCUUUGGUCGUGCCACAGCACUGUAGCCUGGGCAAUAGAGCGAGACCCUGUCUCAAAAAAAAAUUUAAUGUAGAACGUUGGUGGUUAAAGAUGCAUGAUAUAAAUUUUAGGAUAACCAUUAAAACACUACAAAGACUUCCUGUUUAUGGUAAGGUAAUGUUGGGAUGAAAUGAAACAACAAAAAUCCGAAAAGCAAGAAAAAAGAGGAAAAGGAACAUAGGCAAGACAAGAUGAGAUGAGAGUGAUGAGACUAAAUGUUUGGGGGCUAAAUCUGCCCCAAUUACUUGAAAAAAAAAAAACUAAAAGUAAAAGUAAAAACCACAUUAAAUCUAAAUGGACCACAUUCUCUACUUAAAAAAAUGCUAUUAACCAUGUGAUCUUCUCAGUCAUGAGGUAAUCUGGUGACUACCCUUCCUCAAAGCCAGUUGGGAUAUUCUUUGAAUAGAGUAAAACAGUGUUUCUAGGCUGGGAGACACCAGACAUAGUUGAGGACAGAGGUGCUAGAAAAUAGGAAGUUUAAAAGCAUGUGCGGUGAUGCUCAGAGGAGGUAAACCCCACCCUCAUGCUCAUAGCUUCCAAUCAUUUUCUCUAGUUCUUAACUCUUAAAUGUGAGAAAUGCUUGAAGAUUACUAGUCAUCUGAAGAAAGUCUCUUUAUUAAAGAUUUUCAUAAAAGAGACCAAAGCAGACAAACAGAAAAAGACAUCUUGGGGAAAAAAACAAGGAUAAUGGGAAGAGAAGGAAAGUUUUAAAAAUUAUCAAUAUCCUCAGGGGGACAAAAUAUUAUAUCCUAUAAAGACAGAUUUUUAUUUUUUAAAAAAAUAGAAAGCAAAACAAGCUCCUAAAAAUAAAGUUUGAUAGCAGAAAGAAGAAAAAGAUGAGUUAAGUCACCUAAAAAGAGAGCAAAGGACAGGAGAAGGAAAAUAAAGAAAAUUAGAGAGCCAAUCCAAGAGGUACAAUAUCAGAAAAUAUAAAUGUCAGGGAACAAGAACAGAAAAAUGGAGGGAAGUGAAUCCUCAAGACUUCAUGAACAUUUCCCAAAACUGAAAGACUCGUGUUUUCAGAUAGGAAGCGCCUACUCACUGAAUGCUAAACAUGAUGAAUUAAAAUAAUGCACAUCAAGGCACAGUGUUAUGAAAUUGUAGACCGUUAGGUAUAAAAAUAAGGAUCUGGCUGGGCACAGUGGCUCAUGCCUGUAAUCCCAGCACUUUGGGAGGCUGAGGCAAGAGGAUUGCAUGAGUCCAGAAGUUUGAAACCAGCCUGGGCAACAUAGUAAAACCCUGUCUCUACAAAAAAUAAAAAAAUUAGCCAGGUGCGAUGGUACAUGCCUGUAAUCCCAGCUACUCAGGAAGCUGAGGUAGGAGGAUCGCUUGAGUCCAGGGAGGUUGAGGUUGCAGUGAGCUUGUGCCACUGUACUCCAGCCUGAGUGACAGAGCGAGACCCUGUUGCCAAAAAAAUUUUUUUUUAAAAGGGAUCCUACAUGCAUCCAGAGAUUAAACGAAAACAAUCACCUGAAAAGGCUCUGAACUCAGAUUGAUGCUUCUCACCAGCACUGGAAGCUAGAUGGUAUUGGAAUAAUACCUCACAGUUCUGAAGGAAAAAUAUUUCCAAGCCAGAAUUCUAAACCUAGACAAACUAUCAAAUAUAAGUAGAAAGAAGUAAACAAACACAUUUUCAGAAAUGCAAGAUUUCAAAAAAUAUAUAUCUCCCAUGCACUGUUCUUCAGAAAGCCUUGGGAGAAUGUACCCUACCAAAAGAGGGAGUAAUAAACUAGGAAAAGUUGUAUUUGGGAAAUGGAAUCAACUUAGAAAGAAGCAAAGAGGCCUGUAAUGAUAAAGGGGUUUUCUAGGAUGACAGCUCCAUAGCUGGAAUGGGGGACAACCAGACCAGAAUGGAGCUUUAGUAGAUAUAUUCUAGAGCAGGAAAUUCGAGAAUAUAUAAAGUAGCUAAAAUAGAAGAAAAUGUAGACAAUUGAGUGAGAGUUCAAGGGUGAAAUAACAAUGUUAAAUACUAAAAAAUCAAAGUAAAGGAAAAAGGACAAUUAUUAACUUCAGGAAAGACAAAGUUAUGCAGAAAAGGAAAAGUAACCAUGAUAUAAACAUUGAAUAUUGAUUGAACCACAAUUAUGCUCUAACUAUAUUGGGAAGAAGAAAGAAAGCUGAAAAUAUGAAAGAGCGCUAAAUAUUUACUCCUACAGGAAAGAGUCAGUGAUCUCCAAAACAGAAAAUGCAAGAUCAG
rnacentral:lncRNA from 10 species